AUGUCUAGUCAGUAUGAGGUGUCCAAGGAAGAAAUUCUUCUUGUCAUGAAUGAGAAGGUAACUAAGGAAGAGGCACUGCAUCUAAUACAAGGGUUGAGGGAUGCCAAGCGUCGAAUAGAUGAGAAGCUAGAUCGAUUAUUGGAGAUGUUCGGUGUAAAGGAGACGCACGCCAAGUGUUCAACGGUCGUACUCAAUAGCAACAAUGGCAUUGUCCAGGGUGUGUUCCCACUCUUGCUUGGCACACUAGACAUUGUUUCAGCACCGGGGAAGUCCACACCAGUCAUGGCAUUGAAGACAUCAAUGGAAGAUGUCAAGAAUUGUCCAGGGCCACAUCCUCCCAUAAUAGAAUCGAGAGCUAGUAGAUGUGAGUUACAAUCAGCACCUUGGCCAACAAAUAGGACUGGCACCAAGGUGCAAUUGAUGUCUCCAUGGCCACACCCCAAGCAAAUGGAUGUUAUUGUCAGCAAUAUUGAUCUUCAGCCAAUGCCAUGGCCUUCAUUCAAUUUUUAUUUGAUCAAAGGUCAUCAGGAUUUCUUUGAUGCAAUAGGAGAAUCUUAUCAUCUGCUUGCUAUCAAGGAACUAUGGAAUUAUUCUUUGCUUGGGAUCUUACUGUGCACGAGAAUCAGCACAAAGAGCUUACAACUUGAAAUAGCAAGUAUGUUAAUGGAGCUUGUCUGGUUUCAAGAAGGAGAGCAAAAAUGGAUUGGUGUGCAUGUGUUCAGUUUUGUGUAUCCUGAAGGUUCCUUACUCUUGGUUAAUUUUAUGCAAGAUGUUAGCAAGAAUGGCAUAAUUUCUUAUGACAUUGAAGGAAUUGCAGAAUGUACUCAAAUAAGGUACUUUGCAUCAUUACUUCUUGAUAUUGCAAUAUUGCCCACAGAAAUAAUGCUCACAGUAAGGCAUUGGGCAGUGCAUUUGAUGCUGCCAUGGCCUCCACCCCAUGAGAAUAGCAUUGUGCUCUUGAUUGAUGUGCAUGCAUUUGCCAAAUUAGGGAUAGCAAAUAUGGUUGAAGCAAAGGAAGAAAUGAAAUUAUUUGUUGCUAAGUUAUAUGUACUGGACCUGAGUUGUGCAACUCCUUCUAUUGGUCACUUUGGAAAUCAUGGUCCCUUUCAACUCUUAGUGUGCAAGAUUUGGCCUCAAUUCCUGUUAUGGAAGAUAUGGUCCUCUGAGGCAGAAAUAAAGCUGUUAAUUGUUGGGCAUCCUAAACAGUACAUCGAAGACACGAUUCUGGUGUUAGUGGAAGUUAGUUUGUAUGAUUUGGGUGGUAAUUGCUCCUUCUUUGAGGCAGAAAGGGGUGUACUCACUGGUAACAAGCAUUUUUAUGGGGUGCAGUUAGAAUUUCUAUCUGACAAGCUGGAGCUUAGAAAGAAACAUAUGCUAAAAAUUAUAGAUGCUUGUUAUGAAAGUUGGUCCACAAGGAAGUGGAUUGAUGUGACAAGAAAAUGGCUGCACUGGAUGCUGGGAGGUGGUGAACAUGCAAGUAAUUUCAGUUGGUAUCUUUGUUGGACUUUGAAAGUUGAUAUUAAGCUGAAGAAAUUAUUGCAAGGGGCAAACAAGAUUAGCAGCAAGCUCAAAAAUGGAGGGGACAUCCGUGAAGCUUUUGAGCAGUAAAAAAUACAAG
rnacentral:lncRNA from 1 species